rnacentral:lncRNA from 1 species
CUGUGUGCCAAAGGCUGAAGGAGGCACGCCACAGAGAACAAGAGACCCAGAGAAGGGGAAGCCAGCUCUGGAAGGAUCGAGGCGCCGGGGAAGAAGGCUUGGGAAGCACAGCCUCGGACCCAACUCUGAAGAGCCAGAGGAAUGAGGACCAGCGGGCACCAGGGAGGUCGGCCUGGGUCAGCGCUCAGAUGAGCUCAAAGGGUACUGAGACUAUGAGGUUCUUCUACCCCGACAGAGGCCACAGGCCUGAGCAACACAAGGACACAAGUUUAGCAACCACACCUUUGACCUCGAUGGUGGAGCCCUAGAAGACAAGGUCUGCAUCUGGUUCAUCUCACCUCCCUACCUCCCAACUUCAGCAUGGAGCUCAGCACCAGGGCCCUGCUCCGGAAGUGCUUGUUGAGCUGGAUUUGUGCUAUUCAGUGAACACAACAGUUGGCUGUCCAAUGGAGCACCAUCGAGCAAGCUACAGGGGGCACCUUGGUAACCCACUUAAGAAAAUAAACUGUUUGCAAGUUCUUUCCCCA